UGUAGUCUGCAACUCGACUACAUGAAGCUGGAAUCGCUAGUAAUCGCGGAUCAGAAUGCCGCGGUGAAUACGUUCCCGGGUCUUGUACACACCGCCCGUCACACCAUGGGAGCCGGAAAUGCCCGAAGUCUGUGACUCAACCGAGAGGGGCGAGCAGCCGAAGGUGGAGCUGGUAACUGGGGUGAAGUCGUAACAAGGUACC
rnacentral:rRNA from 1 species